UUUUCGCAAUGCCCGAAAGGGUGACGAAGCGACGCCGCGUGGGUGAGGAAGGCCUUCGGGUUGUAAAGCCCUGUCAGGAGUUAAGAAAUGUAAGUGCGCUAAUAUCGCAUUUAUUUGACGAAGGCUCCAAAGGAAGUCACGGCUAACUCUGUGCCAGCAGCCGCGGUAAUACAGAGGUGGCAAGCGUUGUUCGGAAUUAUUGGGCGUAAAGAGCACGUAGGUGGGUUUGUAAGUCAGAUGUGAAAGCCUUCUGUUCAACGGAAGAAUUGCAUCUGAAACUGCGAGUCUUGAGUGUAGGGGGGGAGAAUGGAACUUCUGGUGGAGCGGUGAAAUGCGUAGAUAUCAGAAGGAACGCCGGCGGCGAAAGCGAUUCUCUGGCCUAUUACUGACACUCAGUGUGCGAAAGCUAGGGGAGCAAACGGGAUUAGAUACCCCGGUAGUCCUAGCCGUAAACGAUGGGCACUAAGUAGAGGGGUUUUA
rnacentral:rRNA from 1 species